rnacentral:rRNA from 1 species
GAUGAACGCUGGCGGCGUGCCUAAUACAUGCAAGUCGAGCGAACAGACGAGGAGUUUGCUCCUCUGACGUUAGCGGCGGAAGGGCGCGUAACACGUGGAUAACCUACCUAUAAGACUGGGAUAACUUCGGGAAACCGGAGCUAAUACCGGAUAAUAUAUUGAACCGCAUGGUUCAAUAGUGAAAGACGGUUUUGCUGUCACUUAUAGAUGGAUCCGCUCCGCAUUAGCUAGUUGGUAAGGUAACGGCUUACCAAGGCAACGAUGCGUAGCCGACCUGAGAGGGUGAUCGGCCACCCUGGAACUGAGACACGGUCCAGACUCCUACGGGAGGCAGCAGUAGGGAAUCUUCCGCAAUGGGCGAAAGCCUGACGGAGCAACGCCGCGUGAGUGAUGAAGGUCUUCGGAUCGUAAAACUCUGUUAUUAGGGAAGAACAAAUGUGUAAGUAACUAUGCACGUCUUGACGGUACCUAAUCAGAAAGCCACGGCUAACUACGUG